GAUGAACGCUGGCGGCGUGCCUAAUACAUGCAAGUCGAACGCUGAAGGAAGGAGCUUGCUCUUUCCGGAUGAGUUGCGAACGGGUGAGUAACGCGUAGGUAACCUGCCUGGUAGCGGGGGAUAACUAUUGGAAACGAUAGCUAAUACCGCAUAACAGUAGAUGUUGCAUGAUAUCUACUUAAAAGGUGCAAUUGCACCACUACCAGAUGGACCUGCGUUGUAUUAGCUAGUUGGUGAGGUAACGGCUCACCAAGGCGACGAUACAUAGCCGACCUGAGAGGGGGAUCGGCCACACUGGGACUGAGACACGGCCCAGACUCCUACGGGAGGCAGCAGUAGGGAAUCUUCGGCAAUGGACGGAAGUCUGACCGAGCAACGCCGCGGGAGUGAAGAAGGUUUUCGGAUCGUAAAGCUCUGUUGUAAGAGAAGAACGAGUGUGAGAGUGGAAAGUUCACACUGUGACGGUAUCUUACCAGAAAGGGACGGCUAACUACGUG
rnacentral:rRNA from 1 species